CCCUUAGAUGCUCUGGGCCGCACGCGCGCUACACUGGUCGAUGCAACGAGUUUCUUUCCUUGGCCGACAGGCCUGGGCAAUCUUUGAACAUCGAUCGUGAUCGGGAUAGAUUCUUGUAAUUUUUGAUCUUAAACGAGGAAUUCCUAGUAAACGCAAGUCAUCAGCUUGCAUUGAUUACGUCCCUGCCCUUUGUACACACCGCCUGUCGCACCUACCGAUUGAAUGGUCCGGUGAAAUCUCCGGACUGGCGUGAGUCGGAGCAAUCUGACAAACACCGGAAAGUUGAUUAAACCUUACCAUUUAGAGGAAGGUGAAGUCGUAACA
rnacentral:rRNA from 1 species